GACGGAAGGUGCAAGCGUUGCUCGGAAUCACUGGGCGUAAAGGGUGCGUAGGCGGCUUCUUAAGUCUGGUGUGAAAGCCCAGGGCUCAGCUCUGGAAGUGCACUAGAUACUGAGAAGCUUGAGUACCGGAGGGGAGAGUGGAAUUCCUGGUGUAGCGGUGAAAUGCGUAGAUAUCAGGAGGAAUACCGGUGGCGAAAGCGACUCUCUGGACGGUUACUGACGCUGAGGCACGAAAGCGUGGGGAGCAAACAGG
rnacentral:rRNA from 1 species